GGUGGUUUGUCGCGUUGUUCGUGAAAUCUCACAACUCAAUUGUGAGCGUGCGGGCGAUACGGGCAGACUGGAGUACUGCAGGGGAGACUGGAAUUCCUGGUGUAGCGGUGGAAUGCGCAGAUAUCAGGAGGAACACCGGUGGCGAAGGCGGGUCUCUGGGCAGUAACUGACGCUGAGGAGCGAAAGCGUGGGGAGCGAACAGGAUUAGAUACCCUGGUAGUCCACGCCGUAAACGGUGGGUACUAGGUGUGGGUUUCCUUCCUUGGGAUCCGUGCCGUAGCUAACGCAUUAAGUACCCCGCCUGGGGAGUACGGCCGCAAGGCUAAAACUCAAAGAAAUUGACGGGGGCCCGCACAAGCGGCGGAGCAUGUGGAUUAAUUCGAUGCAACGCGAAGAACCUUACCUGGGUUUGACAUGCACAGGACGUGCCUAGAGAUAGGUAUUCCCUUGUGGCCUGUGUGCAGGUGGUGCAUGGCUGUCGUCAGCUCGUGUCGUGAGAUGUUGGGUUAAGUCCCGCAACGAGCGCAACCCUUGUCUCAUGUUGCCAGCACGUAAUGGUGGGGACUCGUGAGAGACUGCCGGGGUCAACUCGGAGGGAGGUGGGGAUGACGUCAAGUCAUCAUGCCCCUUAUGUCCAGGGCUUCACACAUGCUACAAUGGCCGGUACAAAGGGCUGCGAAGCCGCGAGGUGGAGCGAAUCCUUUAAAGCCGGUCUCAGUUCGGAUCGGGGUCUGCAACUCGACCCCGUGAAGUUGGAGUCGC
rnacentral:rRNA from 1 species